rnacentral:rRNA from 1 species
GACGAACGCUGGCGGCGUGCCUAACACAUGCAAGUCGAGCGAUGACACUUUAACAGAACCCUUCGGGGCGUAGAUACAGUGGAUUAGCGGCCGACGGGUGAGCAACACUUUAGUAAUCUGCCUCCGACAUUGGAAUAGCCCUGGGAACCCGGGAUUUAUACCAACUCAAAUCACAAUGAUACAUGUCAUUAUGAUCAAGACUUAGAUGAUCUAGGAGGGACGCGCGUCCCAUUAGCUAGUUGGGAGGUUAAAAGCCUACCAAGGCGACGACGGGUAGCCGGCCUGAGAGGGUGAGCCGCCACAUUGGAGCUGAGAAGCGGUCCAGACUCCUACGGGAGGCAGCAGUGGGGAAUAGUGCACAAUGGAGGGAACGCUGAUGCAGCGAGGCCGGGUGAACGAAGAAGGCUGUCGAGACGUAAAAUGCAUUUAAAUGGGAAGAUAAUGACGGUACCAGAAGAAAAAGCCCCGGCUAACUACGUG